rnacentral:rRNA from 1 species
UGGGGAAUUUUGGACAAUGGGGGAAACCCUGAUCCAGCAAUGCCGCGUGUGUGAAGAAGGCCUUCGGGUUGUAAAGCACUUUUGUCAGGAACGAAACGGUGGGGGCUAAUAUCCCCGGCUAAUGACGGUACCUGAAGAAUAAGCACCGGCUAACUACGUGCCAGCAGCCGCGGUAAUACGUAGGGUGCAAGCGUUAAUCGGAAUUACUGGGCGUAAAGCGUGCGCAGGCGGUUGUGCAAGACAGAUGUGAAAUCCCCGGGCUCAACCUGGGAAUGGCAUUUGUGACUGCACGGCUAGAGUGUGUCAGAGGGGGGUAGAAUUCCACGUGUAGCAGUGAAAUGCGUAGAUAUGUGGAGGAAUACCGAUGGCGAAGGCAGCCCCCUGGGAUAACACUGACGCUCAGGCACGAAAGCGUGGGGAGCAAACAGGAUUAGAUACCCUGGUAGUCCACGCCCUAAACGAUGUCAACUAGUUGUCGGGUCUUAAUUGACUUGGUAACGCAGCUAACGCGUGAAGUUGACCGCCUGGGGAGUACGGUCGCAAGAUUA